UAUUGGAUGCGGACCAUAGUUGUCCGGAAAACAUGCCUGUGUCGAUAAAGAAACAAAAUGUUUGUUCCUUGAAAAAUGGUUGUAGAAAAGUUUUAAAGCGAUACAGAAAAAUCCAGCUCCUCCAUCGCCAGGGAUCGUUCAAAUGCACGAUUUUGAGCUUUGGCCCACUACCUAA